GACGUUUACCUACAGAAGAAGCACCGGCUAACUCCGUGCCAGCAGCCGCGGUAAUACGGAGGGUGCGAGCGUUAAUCGGAAUUACUGGGCGUAAAGCGCAUGCAGGCGGCCUGUUAAGUCAGAUGUGAAAGCCCGGGGCUUAACCUCGGAAUUGCAUUUGAAACUGGCAGGCUAGAGUCUUGUAGAGGGGGUAGAAUUUCAGGUGUAGCGGUGAAAAUGCGUAGAGAUCUGAAGGAAUACCAGUGGCGAAGGCGGCCCCCCUGGACAAAGACUGACGCUCAGAUGCGAAAGCGUGGGGAGCAAACAGGAUUAGAUACCCUGGUAG
rnacentral:rRNA from 1 species